rnacentral:rRNA from 1 species
UACGAAGGGUGCAAGCGUUACUCGGAAUUACUGGGCGUAAAGGGUGCGUAGGUGGUUUGUUAAGUCUGCUGUGAAAUCCCCGGGCUCAACCUGGGAAUGGCAGUGGAUACUGGCAAGCUAGAGUGCGGUAGAGGGUAGUGGAAUUCCCGGUGUAGCAGUGAAAUGCGUAGAGAUCGGGAGGAACACCAGUGGCGAAGGCGGCUACCUGGACCAGCACUGACACUGAAGCACGAAAGCGUGAGGAGCAAACAGG